rfam:Zancudomyces culisetae strain COL-18-3 mitochondrion, complete sequence, whole genome shotgun sequence.
UUGGAUGUAGCCAAGUAGGUAAGGCCUCGAAAUUUGGAUUCGAUAUACGGGGGUUCGAAUCCCUCCAUCCAAA